rnacentral:rRNA from 1 species
AGAGUUUGAUCCUGGCUCAGGAUGAACGCUAGCGGCAGGCUUAAUACAUGCAAGUCGUGGGGCAGCAGCUCUGUAGCAAUACAAAGGCUGGCGACCGGCAAACGGGUGCGGAACACGUACGCAACUUACCCAAAACUGAUGAAUAGCCCUCCGAAAGGAGGAUUAAUACAUCGUAACAUAAUGAAAGGGCAUCCUUUUAUUAUUAUAGCUCCGGCGGUUUUGGAUGGGCGUGCGGCUGAUUAGGUAGUUGGCGGAGUAAUAGCCCACCAAGCCAACGAUCAGUAACUGGUGUGAGAGCACGACCAGUCACACGGGCACUGAGACACGGGCCCGACUCCUACGGGAGGCAGCAGUAAGGAAUAUUGGUCAAUGGACGCAAGUCUGAACCAGCCAUGCCGCGUGAAGGAUGAAGGUCCUCUGGAUUGUAAACUUCUUUUAUAUGGGACGUAACCCUUUUAUUCUUAAAAGACUGACGGUACCAUACGAAUAAGCACCGGCUAACUCCGUGCCAGCAGCCGCGGUAAUACGGAGGGUGCAAGCGUUAUCCGGAUUUACUGGGUUUAAAGGGUGCGUAGGUGGGUCUGUAAGUCCGUGGUGAAAUCUCUAAGCUUAACUUGGAAACUGCCAUGGAUACUAUAGGUCUUGAAUACCGUGGAGGUGAGCGGAAUAUGUCAUGUAGCGGUGAAAUGCUUAGAUAUGACAUAGAACACCAAUUGCGAAGGCAGCUCACUACACGAAUAUUGACACUGAGGCACGAAAGCGUGGGGAUCAAACAGGAUUAGAUACCCUGGUAGUCCACGCCCUAAACUAUGGAUACUCGACAUACGCGAUACACUGUGUGUGUCUGAGCGAAAGCAUUAAGUAUCCCACCUGGGAAGUACGACCGCAAGGUUGAAACUCAAAGGAAUUGGCGGGGGUCCGCACAAGCGGUGGAG